rnacentral:rRNA from 1 species
AUUGAACGCUGGCGGCAUGCUUUACACAUGCAAGUCGAACGGUAACAGGCCUUCGGGCGCUGACGAGUGGCGAACGGGUGAGUAAUGCAUCGGAACGUGCCCAGUCGUGGGGGAUAACGCAGCGAAAGCUGUGCUAAUACCGCAUACGAUCUAUGGAUGAAAGCGGGGGACCGUAAGGCCUCGCGCGAUUGGAGCGGCCGAUGUCAGAUUAGGUAGUUGGUGGGGUAAAGGCUCACCAAGCCAACGAUCUGUAGCUGGUCUGAGAGGACGACCAGCCACACUGGAACUGAGACACGGUCCAGACUCCUACGGGAGGCAGCAGAGGGGAAUUUUGGACAAUGGGCGCAAGCCUGAUCCAGCAAUGCCGCGUGCAGGAAGAAGGCCUUCGGGUUGUAAACUGCUUUUGUACGGAACGAAACGGCGAGCUCUAAUACAGUUUGCUAAUGACGGUACCGUAAGAAUAAGCACCGGCUAACUACGUGCCAGCCGCCGCAGUAAUAC